UACGGAGGGGACUAGCGUUGUUCGGAAUUACUGGGCGUAAAGCGCGCGUAGGCGGAUUUGCAAGUCGGGGGUGAAAGCCCGAGGCUCAACCUCGGAACUGCCUUCGAUACUGCAAAUCUCGAGUCCGAGAGAGGUGAGUGGAAUUCCUAGUGUAGAGGUGAAAUUCGUAGAUAUUCGCAAGAACACCAGUGGCGAAGGCGGCUCACUGGCCCGAUACUGACGCUGAGGUGCGAAAGCGUGGGGAGCAAACAGG
rnacentral:rRNA from 1 species